GCCUCCGUAGCUCAAUGGUUAGAGCACUGAUCUGGUAAACCAGGGGUCGGGAGUUCAUUUCUCCCCGGAGGCA
rnacentral:tRNA from 1 species